CUGGUCUCGAACUCCCGACCUCAGGUGAUCCACCCGCCUCGGCCUCCCAAAGUGCUGGGAUUACAGGUGUGAGCCACCAGGCCCGGCAACAGACACUUUAAUAGAGCAGGUUUCUCCAACCUCUUUCCCUUCCUUCUGUGCCCUUAUUCCACCUCUACCCAGUACUAGAGGAACCAGUAGGUUAGCAGUCUCCUAGGAACAGCUUUGGAGAAAGACUCUGGAGUAAAAUAGAAAAAAUCAACCGCUAUAGCAAGGGAGACUUGUCUUGCUUACACGAAAGAAAGGGGGCACAAGUAAGGAUACACACCCAUGUCAGAGCCACGCUAUUAGCGAAUUAAGACAAAUGACACAGUAGGUUGAGGCCCUUGUCUUUUGGGGACUAUGGGGACUGAGGGAAAGGGGGAAUACAGCCAAGCAGAAGACUGUCAGACCUCUCUGCUCAGAAAUGCAAAUACAGAGGAAGAUGCUAAAAAAAGGAAGAGGCCCAACAUGUGGGGACCAACCAGCACACAAGGCCACAGCCCCUCUGGACCUAAGCAUGCAGUUCCAUGGUAGGGGCAGUCUGUGACCCUGGGCACUAUGCUGUAGGCUCUGGGAUUCCCUCCUUUUGGCAAAUACCCUCCCAGGGAUCAAGGAGCAAGGCUCACAGAUGCUGGGAAUAAGUCUCUAGAUUAACGCUAGUAACCAGUUUCCUGAAGCCAAAGCAAGGCCACAGAUGACAUUUAGGCAGCCCCAAGGCUCACUGGUGCUUAAGAGAGCAAACACGUGCUAGAAUUAAGUGUCCAAAAACCAGAGUAGGUAGUUCCAGGCCAAGAGUAUGGGUGGCCCUCGCCUUUCUGGCAGGGGCUGGGUUAGGUUCUGCUCAGUGGCCUUGCCAGGAACAAAGCCUGGCUCCAUGGAGAUUCUCUGUGGUUUAAGAAUACAUAAGCUUGCAACCUCUCCUGGCUGAGGGGACUUUAAGCACAUUAUUUAAAAGCAGCCUGGCCAGGCGAGGUGGUUCAUGCCUGUGAUCCUUGCACUUUGGGAGGCUGAGGUGGGCGGAUCACCUGAGAUCAGGGGUGUGAGACCAGCCUGGCCAACAUAGUGAAAC
rnacentral:lncRNA from 1 species